rnacentral:rRNA from 1 species
GAUGAACGCUGGCGGCGUGCCUAAUACAUGCAAGUCGAGCGAACGGACGAGAAGCUUGCUUCUCUGAUGUUAGCGGCGGACGGGUGAGUAACACGUGGAUAACCUACCUAUAAGACUGGGAUAACUUCGGGAAACCGGAGCUAAUACCGGAUAAUAUUUUGAACCGCAUGGUUCAAAAGUGGAAGACGGUCUUGCUGUCACUUAUAGAUGGAUCCGCGCUGCAUUAGCUAGUUGGUAAGGUAACGGCUUACCAAGGCAACGAUGCAUAGCCGACCUGAGAGGGUGAUCGGCCACACUGGAACUGAGACACGGUCCAGACUCCUACGGGAGGCAGCAGUAGGGAAUCUUCCGCAAUGGGCGAAGGCCUGACGGAGCAACGCCGCGUGAGUGAUGAAGGUCUUCGGAUCGUAAAACUCUGUUAUUAGGGAAGAACAUAUGUGUAAGUAACUGUGCACAUCUUGACGGUACCUAAUCAGAAAGCCACGGCUAACUACGUG